rnacentral:miRNA from 1 species
UUAAUUUCAUAGUUUGUCAUCUAAACAGUCCUGGAUGCUUCUUACAAAGUGUUUUCCUGUUUUCCUGUAUUUUUAAGGAAAAUUGAAAGUCAUAAGCAUCAUU